AUACUUACCUGGCAGGGGAGAAACCACGCUCAAAAAGGUGGUUCUCCCAAGGCGGGGCUUAUCCAUUGUACUUCGGAUGGGUUGACCUUCGUGAUUUCCCCAAAUGCGGGAAACCCAACUACAUAAUUUAUGGUAGUGGGGGACUGCAUUCGCGCUGUCUCCUG